rnacentral:misc_RNA from 1 species
AUGGAUGGGAUGGGAAGGAGCAGGAAUUCGUGAUUAUUCUUCUCAUAUCAAUCCAUACAUUUAAAACCAAAAAUUCAAAUUAGGUUAUGAUUUGUUAAUAGAAUUGGUUCUUAAUCUAUCAACAUCAACCAAUGGUUGUGGUGGGUUUGGUUUGUUGUAUAUAUAAAUGGGAAAAGAGGGGAAAUUGAAAAUUGGUAUUCAUUAAUGUUUACCCUUUUUUUCAAGUGUUAUUUGUACAUAUGGUCAAGACAGAGCCUUCGGCUUUUAAUAAUAUGAAAAG